CCUACGGGUGGCUGCAGUGGGGAAUAUUGCGCAAUGGGGGAAACCCUGAUGCAGCGACGCCGCGUGAGUGAAGAAGUAAUUCGUUAUGUAAAGCUCUAUCAGCAGGGAAGAACAUUACGGUACCUGAUUAAGAAGCCCCUGCUAACUACGUGCCAGCAGCCGCGGUAAUACGGAGGGGGCAAGCGUUAUCCGGAUUUACUGGGGGUAACGGGAGCGUAGACGGCAGUGCAAGUCAGGAGUGAAAGGCGGGGGCUCAACCCCCGGACUGCUCUGGAAACUGUACGGCUGGAGUGCAGGAGAGGUAAGUGGAAUUCCUAGUGUAGCGGUGAAAUGCGUAGAUAUUAGGAGGAACAUCAGUGGCGAAGGCGGCUUACUGGACUGUAACUGACGCUGAGGCUCGAAAGCGUGGGGAGCAAACAGGAUUAGAUACCCGAGUAGUC
rnacentral:rRNA from 1 species